rnacentral:lncRNA from 10 species
UUUUAACACUGUUGAAGAAGGAAUUUUGCAGUUACAGAAAAGAUUAAAGGAAAGGACUGUUUUGGUGAGCCCUAAAGCAAAACCAUGGAUCUUGUGAUGAAACAUACAUUCUGCCAUGACUGAUUGUCACCAGAAAGGUUUUGAAGGCAUAUUACAGCACUGGAUAAAAUAAAUCUAUAUCAAGCUAUAGACAAAGAAGAGGGCUGGAUGCUCACAGCUUGAUGCUACACCAUGACUCUCCAAGAGGCUCACUGGGCAAAGACUCAGUUGGCUGUCAAAGGAAAAGCUGGCCUCACCAGUAAAGACAAAGUCAUGUACUUCAGUGGAAAUGCUGUGAUCUUCUAAUGCAGUCCACCAUGUUCAUAAUGGAAGUUUUCCACAGAAAUAUAAAGUUUUCAUAAAUCUUGAAUUAUUCUGGUAAUUUGAGAGCUCAUUACAUGUGAAAUCUAUGAUUUCUAGAUAAUGAGUUGGUAAAAUGCCAGAAGAAAUGUAGAACACACCCUUAUUUUUUACAAAAAUGGCAUUUAUUCAAUGAUGAGAAUCAAAAUAUUAUAUCUUUGGCUAAAUUAGUCAAUUUUAUCAAAAUGGAAGAAAUUAUAAGCAGUAAAAUCAAGACAAAAUGUACAAUUUUAAUUGGAGAAUUUAGUCCAUUUACAUUUAAAGUUAAUAUUGUUAUGUGUGAAUUUGAUCCUGUCAUUAUGAUGUUAGCUGGUGAUUUUGCUCGUUAGUUGAUGCAGUUUCUUCCUAGUCUCGAUGGUCUUUACAAAUGUAAAUGGACUAAAUUCUCCAAUUAAAAGACACAGACUGGCAAGUUGGAUAAAGAGUCAAGACCCAUCAGUGUGCUGUAUUCAGGAAACCCAUCUCACGUGCAGAGACACAAAUAGGCUCAAAAUAGAAGGAUGGAGGAAGAUCUACCAAGCAAAUG